rnacentral:rRNA from 1 species
UACAGAGGUCCCAAGCGUUGUUCGGAUUCACUGGGCGUAAAGGGUGCGUAGGCGGUCGGGUAAGUCUGCUGUGAAAUCCCGCAGCUCAACUGCGGAACUGCAUUGGAAACUAUCUGGCUAGAGGAAUGGAGGGGAGACUGGAAUUCUCGGUGUAGCAGUGAAAUGCGUAGAUAUCGAGAGGAACACCAGUGGCGAAGGCGAGUCUCUGGACAUUUCCUGACGCUGAGGCACGAAAGCCAGGGGAGCAAACGGG